rnacentral:rRNA from 1 species
AUUGAACGCUGGCGGCGUGCUUAACACAUGCAAGUCGAUCGGUAACAGGUGUAGCAAUACAUGCUGACGAGAGGCGGACGGGUGAGGAACGCUUGGGAAUCUGCCUAUCAGCGGGGGACAACCCGGGGAAACCCGGGCUAAUACCGCAUACGCUCAACGGAGGAAAGCCGGGGACCGCAAGGCCUGGCACUGGUAGAUGAGCCCAAGUCGGAUUAGCUAGUUGGCGGGGUAACGGCCCACCAAGGCGACGAUCCCUAGUUGGUCUGAGAGGAUGACCAGCCACACUGGAACUGAGACACGGUCCAGACUCCUACGGGAGGCAGCAGUGGGGAAUAUUGCACAAUGGGCGCAAGCCUGAUGCAGCCAUGCCGCGUGUAUGAAGAAGGCCUUCGGGUUGUAAAGUACUUUCAGCGAGGAGGAAGGCGGUGAGGUUAAUAACCUCAUCGAUUGACGUUACUCGCAGAAGAAGCACCGGCUAACUCCGUGCCAGCAGCCGCCGUAAUAC